rnacentral:sRNA from 1 species
AUCGGGCACAGCGGUGUGUGCCUGUAAUCCCAGCGGCUUGGGAGGCUGAGGCAGGAGGAUGGCAAAUUGAAGGCUAGCCUUGGCAGCUUAGGGAGGAACUAAGCAAGUCUGAGGGACCCUGUCUCAAAAAUGAAAAAUAAAGACGGCUGGGGAUGUGGAGAGUCAGGAUCUCACUAAGUUGCUUAGGACCUCGCUAAGUUGUGGAGGCUGGCCUCCAGCUUUGGAUCCUCCUGCCU